UUUAGAAGGCAGCUAUGAUCACCACUCUAUCACCAAUGUCACUAAAAUCAGUAUUCUUGAUUGCCUGCUGGAAAUAAAAAUGUAAUUGCUAAAAUACUCAGUAUAAGUUAAGUGAUACGUUACAAGUAAAGAUCUCUCAUGUGUUAAGUUUCAAGUUUCACUUAAUGUUCUUAAUAAAAUAAUGGUAAUUUGAAUUCUCUACAAAUACGUUCAGCCUGUAGUAUUCUAAUUUACAGAUGCUUGAGAACACCUAAUAUUUUUGAUUAACUUAAUGUCAAACUAUUAUCCUACCUUGUAAAUAGCAUAGAAAUUUUAACUAUAGUCUUUAAAAAAUCAAAUUUCAUUGGUAGGGAAGUGUAAAUGUAUGGUUUUUUUAAAACACAACAUUAAAAGGUUGAGGUUAUAACUUUCAUAAAGAUGAAAUCACUAUUUAAAAGCUGCACAUAGACUGAUUAUUAUUGUUUGUUUGUCUUAGAAGAUGUAUCUUUAAAUUGCUGGAAGACAUCAUGAAUAUUUUCAUUGCUAAUUAUUGGUAAAGUCUUUAGUAUAUGUCAGUUCUGUUUGUGUGGGUAUGGUUGCUGUAGUGCGGCUUAAAAAAAAACAGUGCUUCAUAUCAGUGAAAGCUCUUCUUUGGUUUAAUCUGGGUUGUGGUUAUAUUGUUUUUUCAUAUCGUGUGAGCUGAUUGCAAGGGGUUAACCCAAAAUGAGCCACUUCACUUAAAAUUAUUCUAUAUGUUAGUUUGUGAAUUCUGUUGUUGGUAUUUAAACGUACAUCAUAGUUUAAUCAUAUCACAUAAAGUUGUGAUUUCAGGAAUACUUUAUAUUUCUUUUGCUGUUUUUGCUUGUGACAAUUGACUGGUCCACCACAUAGAAUUUCUUAGUCUUUCUAACACUAGGUGAACAUUUGAACUGACCAGAUGAUUUUAUGGAAACAGCAUGAGACAGUGGAAGUCAAAUCUCUAUUCUGUACCUUGCUUUGCCCCUUUCUGGCUACAGGAGCCUCAGAAGUCAUUCAGAGAUGCAGCAAAGUGCAGGGGAUCAAACCAUUGAUCGCUGAAUUUGAGUCUUACUUUUGUCAUUUAUUAUUAGCUGUGUGACAGCUAGUAAAUUAACUUAAUCUCUCUGUCUCUGUGUUUUCAUUUGUAAAUGGUAUUAAUAUUAGUGCCUCUCCCCCAGCGUUCUUAAGAAGAUUAAAGCGGUUGAUAUUUGUAAAGUACUUAGAAUAUUGCCUGUACAGCUAAUUAUUUAAUAACAUUUUAAUGUGAUGUGACCUCAUUAGAUCUGAUGUCUACAAACAGUACUUUGAGUUUGAGAAUUGUUAUCAUUUUAAGUGUUUCUUGCCUUUGUUUUCAAUACAUCUUGAAAUUAUUAAACUUAAACUGGUGAAAACA
rnacentral:lncRNA from 1 species